UGACACCCGGAUAUCCCGAAGGCACACGGAGCACAGGGAGUGAGGAUCCUGACACCUCAACGGGCAAAGUGCGGCCUGGCUGGUCUCCGCUGGGGACCAGGUGACGGCCACAAGUUGGGCACAGAGAAAGAGAGCAGCAACCACAGCCGCCUGCAUCUUAGCCCCCUUGAAACAAGGGGUGCCUGCACCCACCCCGCUCUCCUGGUGAGCCCCAUACCAGAAAGGAGACCUUAAAACUAGCCUUACUGGCCCAUUCUGCAAACCAGCUCCCUGGUUUCAUCACACACACACACACACACACACACAGACGUGGCAGAGGAUGGAAACUUUUUUACAUCAAGCCCUGCUUUGCACCACUCUCCUUAAGGCGGUCUUUCAGACUGUUACCAAACCCCAUGUUCCUACCUUGGGCAUUCGCCUGAGGACAAGAGCAACUCACUGCAAAGCACAGUGCGCGUAACAUGGACUGUGGCCCACCGGCAACGAGCUGGCUGGAGACGGAGCAUUACACAAACAGCUGAGGCUUCCGCACCCCACAGAAGUCAGGGGACGGCUGUGGAAAGCACACACUGUAUCCCCAGCUCUUGGCACCAAGCCUGGUGCAUGGAGGUCACCACUGAAGGAGCAAAUGCGUGUCAUACUGAAGGUGGAGUUUAAACCCACUACUAGCCACAGACAAGGAAACUCUGAGAAAGGUUAACACGCAGAACUUUCUACGGGGAGCACGCCCAGCCGGCAGAUCAGGGUGCAGAAGGGGCAAGGCCACCCCCUGAGUGCAAGACACCAGGGAGAGCGAGAAAAGACCCCUUGGGAUGCCCCUGUGCUUGGCUCUGGGCCAGGAAUGAGGAAGAGCAGAGCAGAGCUGGUGUGUCUGCUCCCCCGGCUCCCCAGGAAUAAGUGUGUGACAUCAUCUUGGUGCCAUUCCCUCGACCACCAACGCAGUCUCCUAGCUUCCUUUGUUCAGACUCUGGGCUCAACACGUGACCUCAGGUCACCUGACUUCCCAAGAAAAUCUACCCACAGAGAAACCAGGGGCUGGGGCAGAUGCUUCCUUUGGAAAUGUAAACAAUGCUGGAGGUCAAGAAGGUUCUCCUCCUAGCUUAGGUAUCUACGUCUCUCCAGCCAAGAAGGAGGCCAGGAAGAGCUCUCCGGCCCCCAAAAGAAAAAAGCUACAAUAAAUCAAACCAAAUCACAGACAAACGCAUCUAAGUUACCUUGCACUUCUCAAGGUUUCUCCGUGUGUUAGUCUCAGCACUGGGUACUUCACAGACAUUAUCUCACUUUAGGGUCUAUUUGUAAGUAUUUAUAAACCCAAUAAAAGCCUCACAGAUUACCUGAGGAGACGUGGAAAAAUGGCCGUCCUUCACCUCUGGUGACAGUGAUGAAGAUAGCAAAGCCUAUCCCCCCCAUUUCCCACUCUCCCAGCCCCCACCCCAACUCUCCCCAAGGGCAACACAAGUGCCCCUUUCAGCCAGCAGUAACAGGCCAGGCUUCUAUUGGCCCCCAAAUCCUAAUAACUGCUGUUUCCCUUGAUAACCCAAGGCUUGGUGAGAUCCAGAAA